AGGCCUCAUGGGUGAGUUGCAGGCAGGGAAUGUGGAAGGCUCCUGAUCGGUCGUCGGCGGGGGUCCCGGGAGGGCUGCUCUGUCACUGGAGCGCUGGUCCUUGGUUGGGCGUCUGCCCGGCACAGUGAGGCACAGCACGCUCAUCUAGGAGGUGGGGGUCUGCUCUUCUCACGGGUGUCCGCUGUCAUGAGGAGGGCAGGGGGCUGGAUACCCCUCACCUGUCCCUCCCCCAGGUACUUGUCACCCUGGUCCUGGACAGACACUGCAGGUCCCAAGCUGCCUGGCCCCGCUGUGUCCUCUCCAGGUUUAUUUCCCUCAUCUCCAAGAUGAGAAGUGUGGCCAGCAGCUUUCCUGGGCCCCUUCCUCUUCUGGCUCUGACCUGCAAGGGACUUGGCCCCUGGAGGAGUUUCUCAGGGCUGCUGAAAGCAAGUGCCACAGACCGAGUGGCCGGAAACAGCAGCCACGGACUCUCCCACAAUUUCUGGGGGCUGGAAGUACAAAUUCAAGGUGUCGGCAGGGCUCGUUCCUUCUGGACGCCGUGAAGGAGCUGCUGCUCUGUACCCCUCUCCUGGCUUCUGGGAAUUGCUGCGCUCCCCGGUGGUCCUUGGCCUGUAGGACAUCAUGCAGUCUCUGCCUGUUGUCACAGAGCCUUCUGUGUCCCCAAGCUCUCCUGCUGCUCUCUUUUGAGGACACUCAUCCCUGGACUUGGGUCCCUGCAUAAUCCUAGGUGAUUGAAUCUCCAGAUCUUAAACUUAAUUAUAUCAGCAAGACCCUAUUUCCAAAUGGGACAAUGUUCAGGGGUUCCAAGUGAGCAUGUGUUUUUUGGGGGGAGGGGUCACCAUUCAGCCCACUCUGAUCCUGAGGUGUCCUGGAUCCAUGGAAGACUCCAUGUCCCAGAUUCCUUGUCGUCCCCCUCUGGACAUUUUGGUGUGGCCGCUAGCCUUUGCCACUGUGUUAUGUGCACCUGGUGGGGUGUGGAGGGCUCAGGCUUGUUGGAAUUCCAAGAGCCUGGAGACGGCCCCUGCUUCCUCCCUGGAGCUCCCUGGUCCUGCCUGCCAGGGGCCCGGGAUCCCCGGAACUCUGUGCUGGACUCUGAACUCUUUUUAAAGAUUGGGGGAAAAUAUGCAUAACGCACAAACUGCUGUUUUAACAAUUUGGGGGCCUACAGCCCAGUGGCAUUUAAUGAGAUGCACAGACUUGGGCCACCAUCCAUCCGUCUGCAGAACUUCACCUUCCAGCGUGAAACUCUGCUCUCACGGAACAUCAGCUUUCCGUUCUCCCUUCCCUCUGCCCUUGGCCGCCACCACCCUACUCUCCGUGUCCGUGAGCUUGACUUGAUUCCAGGUGCCUCAUAGACAUGGAAUCGUGCACUAUUUGUCCAUCUGUGCCUGGCUUAUUUCACUUAGUAUCAUCUCUUGGAGGUUGUGGUGUUGUAGCAGGUGUCAUUUUCCUUCCUAGUGUAAGACAGAAUGAGGUUCACUCGAUGGAUGGACCACAUUGCGUGUCGUCUUUUAUCUUUGGCUAGACCUUUACAUUGUUUCCACGUUGGGGCUGUUGUGACAGUUACUGCUGUGAACAGGGGCGUGCAGAUAUCCGCUCCAGGCUCUGCUUUCAGACAUACUGGAUCCACACGCAGACACGGCGUUGCUGGCGUUGCUGGAUCAUGUGGGAAUUCUAUGUUUAAUUUUGGUGGGAAGCUCCGUACGGCUUGCCCCGUGGCUGCACCACUUCCCAUUGCCACCAGCAGGGCACCAGGGUUCCAAAUCCCCCACCCCCUCCACGACAUUGCUAUUUUAUUGACUUGUUUAUUACUUUGGGUAAUAGCCAUCCUCAUGAAUGGCAAGUGGUAUCUCCCUGUGGUUUUGACGUGCGCUUCCCUAACUGCUUAGAGACGGUGAGCGCCCUUUCCGGGGCUUGUUGGCGUCUGUGUGUCUUUGGAGAACUGUUUCUUUGAGUCCUUUGUUAAGUUUUUAAUUGGGUCAUUUGUUUUUUGUUGUUGUUGGUCAUAGGAGUUCUUUAUAUAUCUUGCAUAUUAAUCCCUUACCUGAUACUCGAUUUGCAAGUAUUUUCUCCCAUCCUGUCAAUUACCUUCUCACGCCGUUGAUGGCGUUCUUUGAUGUGUAGAAGUUUUUAAGUUUGAUGAAAUCCCAUUUUUUUAUUCAUCCUUUUGUUGUCAGUGCUUGUGGUAUCAUUCCCAUUGUCACAAAGCUUUUCUCCUGUGACUUUUCCUAAGAGUUGUAUAAUUUUGGCUCUGGCGUUGAGACCUUUGAUCUGUUUUGAAUUAAUUUCUGUAUAUGGUGUGAGGUAAGGCUCCUGAUUCACUCCUUUUCUUUUCUCACACCCAGGCUGGCUCCUCUUGGUGGCAGGGAGUGGGGAAAUCCUGGGCUGGGCCAGGCCUUGAAUCCCUCCCCGCCCCAGGCUGGCCAUCAGAGCCUCAGCUCUGGCCUGGAACAUGGCUGGACAUGUGCUACGUCCCGGGGCAGCCCAAGCCCGGCCCUUCUGGGCUGACAGGGGAGGCCAGCCUGGGGUGUUCUGGGUUCCACCGGUAUGGAUGUUUCUGUAAUUCUCUGUGGUUCCCCUGCCCAGCCUGCAUGUGACACUGGCUGUCUGUGUGGCAGGGUGUGGGGCUCAGUGUCCAUUGGUCUGUCCCCAUGCUCCUCAGGAAGCCUGUCCACCUACAUCCUCUCAUGUGGCCUCUGCCAUCCGAACUUACGCCUCCUGCUCAGAGCUGGUCACCCCUCUUGUCUUCCCUUCCCAAGCCGACAGAAACUUCCAUCCUGAGGCUGCUGCUCAAACCCCUUUGCCCGAAGGCCCUCCAGCACUGGGCACGGCUUCACCAGCCACACACGGAUUCCGCUGACAGGGUUGGCUGUGGAUUCAGCUCCUUUUGGGGCUGGGCAUGUGACCGGGCAAAGGGCAGGGUGGGACCCGACCGAGAAACAGGGGAGAUUUCCUCCUGACAAGUGGCCUGAGCUUGGAGAAGUGUCUUGGCCACAGCUUGAACUCUGGACAGAUAGCAACGCGGAUUCCAGCUCGCAGUGGACAACACUUCUGCCUUUAGACCUUUCAGAUCCUUCUUCCUUUUUUUCUUUUUUUCCCCUUUAACAAAUGAGGAACCUCUGACUUGAGCAAAGCUGAGUAAACAAACCAACACACCCCUAGGAAAUUAGCAAAGAGGCACCAGCUCUGAAACUACAUGCUUCGGGGCUGGGUGGGUCUGUGGGAGCAGCUGGGUGCGGCGGGCCGCGGGGUGCGGGUGGCGGGAACCCGCGCCCUGUGCUUCCCGCCUGCUCUCCUACCCCCUCCCGCCAACAAUCUGUGGAGGUCCCCUCCUGUCACCCCUAGUGGGGAUCCCGCUUGCAGUGCCGUGAAGCCCUGUUCAUACCAGCCCACUUUUUGAAUAUUUCUUGAGGUCCCGCGAUGUGCAGGUGCUUGCCUAGGUUCUCCGCCUCUGGGAGUGAGGAGGUUACUGCCCUUGCUCCCGUGGGACUCUGUCUGAACCAGAUGCCAAGCAGUUAGCCAGUGAGCCCACCGACAGAUGAUUCUAGACAAAGGCUGUGUGUGUGUGUGUGUGUGUGUGUUGGGGGAUUAGUGGAGGCCCCCCGUGAGGAGGUGACACUGAGCUGAAAUUGGUGUGACCAGAAGGACUCCACCAGGCCAGCGUUCAGAGGAAGAGCUUCCAGGCAAAGACAACAGAAAAUGCAAAGACCCUGAGGUUGGGUCAUCAAGGUAAAACUGAUGCAUCGCGAAACGCCCAGAAGUUCGGUGGACCCCUCUGAGAUUGGACCGACACGUCCACGAUGCGUCCGAACUGCUUUCGGGCUGCGGGGCGUCACCCUCCACGCUCUUUGCCAGUCUGUCUCUACCUCCACCUGCCUAAGGGCUGCCAAAAUUCUGGCUUUUUCCACUAUCGAUUAAUUUUGCCAGUUUGUGUGUUGUUUUCCAUCUAUCUAUGUUUUUGCCGUGGUUUGUCCCAUGAUUGCUACGUGGUGUUCAUUUAAUGUUUCCCGUGUGAGGCUCUUAUAAAUAAAGCUGCGAUGAGCA